rnacentral:rRNA from 1 species
UACGUAGGGUGCGAGCGUUAAUCGGAAUUACUGGGCGUAAAGCGUGCGCAGGCGGUUUUGUAAGACAGGUGUGAAAUCCCCGGGCUUAACCUGGGAACUGCGCUUGUGACUGCAAGACUCGAGUACGGCAGAGGGGGGUAGAAUUCCACGUGUAGCAGUGAAAUGCGUAAAGAUGUGGAGGAAUACCGAUGGCGAAGGCAGCCCCCUGGGUCGAUACUGACGCUCAUGCACGAAAGCGUGGGGAGCAAACAGG